UGUCCACCCCGUAAUUUCCGAGACUUUUUUAG
rnacentral:scRNA from 1 species